rnacentral:lncRNA from 1 species
GAAUGAUGUCUUUACUGUUUCUAUUGAUUUACCAAAAGGAGAAUAUUUAUUUAAGUAUAUUGUGGAUGAAAACUGGGUCAUCAAUAAAAAUCAGGUAUUUCCAUUAUUUUAAUUAUAGUGUAGACAUUGUAUUUUUUGCUAAUAGAUGGAGUAUGUAAAUCAGAAUCAAGUCAUACAUUAGCCUUUUUAAAAAGGCUAGUAAUAAUGUCAGCAAAUUUAUCUAAAUACCAAAUAUUGUUAUACCAUGCAAGAGCAAUACCCAAAAAGAAUAGACAUAGUCUUGAUAAUAUAUAAUAAAAACUAUAUGUGAGUUUUAUGUCAAUGAGCAACAGUGGCGGAUCCAGCCAUUUUAAAAAGGGGGGGUUCCCAACCCAGAGUAAAGGGGGGGUUCCAACUAUGUCCCAUUCAAAUGCAUUGGUCGGUUGAAAAAAAGGGGGGGUUCCAACCCACGGAACCCCCCCCUCCCCCCCCUGGAUCCGCCACUGAGCCAGAUUCAAGGUGCAGAUCCAUCUUUUAAAAAGGGGAAGGGGUGGGAAGCAAAUUUAUAUGCACCAUAUGAUUUGGAGUUUAAUAUGUAACUAAUUAAUCAUAAAUAUAGCUCUAUUAAGGGUUAUCCCCCCUCAAUCUGCCUUUGCUACCCUAAGACUUUUGUCACAAACAAAACCAGAGUGCAAGACUAAAACACAUUUAUGUAUUUUUGAAAUUUUAGAAAUAAGAUAAUUAACUAUUAAUGGUAUAUUUAUACAUGGUGUAAAAUCUUCUUUAAAUGCAUUCUCGUGUGGAGUUAACCCCCCCCCCCCCCUCCCUUUUUUCUUUCAAAAUGAUUGGACCUGUGUCUUAUAAAAGAGAUAGUAAUCAUGGGUUUUACGUAAUUAAUUUAGACAUUUCCUUGAUAUUUUUCAUAGAUGCAAUUAAAUCAUUUUUACUUUUCUUUUCAGCCAACCAAAAAUGAUGCCGAGGGUAUAGAAAAUAAUGUUGUUGUUGUCAGCUAGACAUCCCUAAAUACAUCCAGUUUAUGUUGUUAUGAUAUCUUUAUUGUAAUGAACAGGGAACCAGAAACUAUCAGUUUAUUGCUUGUAAUUAAAGGUGAUCAUGGAUCAACUAGUAUGCUCAGGACAUCAGUUCAUUAAACAAUCUGUGGACAGCUAUUGAUACUUUUUUAUCCAAUGUCCUUAGUGUUGUAUAGGAAAGAAUUUCUCUAAAGACAAAGAGAAAUUAAUAAAACAUGUGCUAGUGAAUUCUGGGUAAACAGAUUUUAUAAAAACCUGAAAAACAAGGAUGAACUGUGCCUUCUGUCAUAUGACCUUUAUUUUUAGUUUUAUAUUAUUUCAAAGUCAAACUUUGAAUUCAUUGCAAUCAUUAACUGCAGUGAAAUUCAGAUGACCUCAUCAUCAUGGAUUAAAAGCCAAGUUUUUUUUUAGUUCAUGCUGAAUUUUCUUCUAUUUUCCAUUUGAAACCAAUGUAACCCAAACAAUUUCAUUUUUUUCGUGAUCCACUUUCAGACUAUUAAAAUAAAUUAUGAAGAACAGAGACUGAAACUCUUUACCUAAAGUUGAAAUGGGGACCACAAGACAGACCGCAAUUACAACUAAAUGUUCCCUGUAUAAAAGUCAUGACAAAAUGUGGUGUUUCUGUUCUAAUUGAGAUCAUGCAUCUGCAAUAUAUUUUGUGGUUACCUGAUAAUUGUAUAAAAGGCAUCAACAGAAACAUGUAGUUAUGUUAUGAAAUUAGAUAAGGCUCUAAAUCAUGUAAGCAUGAAAUUUGUAAAAAUGUAAACUUUUGUCCCAUCUUUGUAUAUAAACUAUGCAGCUUAGAAAAUAUGCAGGCCUGUUGUACAUAUGCAAUUACUGCAAAAACAGUUUAUCUAUGUGCAAUACUUUAAAUUCUAGGUAAACAAAUUAUAUUAAAACACAAUAUUAAUCAGUAACAAGUCUCUCCUUGCUCAAAGUUUUAUGUUGGGGAGAAAUUUCAUGAAUAAACCAACAAAAAUCAAAUUAUUUUUUUUUGUCAUAUUUUCCAUUUACUCUGAAAUUUGAAUGCAUUGUCAUAAAGAUUUUCCAUGUAAAUCAGACUUUUACACUAAAUUUAACAACACCAUUGAAAAUUCAUUACUUGCUUUAGAUCAAUAUAACUAUAUAGUACACAUUGUCACUAAUUACAAUAUUCAGAUCCAACAUGUUUCUAGUGUAGGUAAUUAAUGGUGUCAAGCUUGAUUGAUCUCUUAUCAAUGCAAUUACCUUAAAAACAAUUAAAAAAAUGAAAACAUGCACCAUGAUAUAAUGAAGGAAAUAUUUGUAAUUCGGAUGUCAUUGAAAAUUAUUUGUUUUACUCUGUCAAUGUUCUUUCAUGACACAAUCUCAAUGUUCAUUUCACCUGUAAAUUACUAUCUUAUUGGACAAUCAAGUCUGUACAAAUAUAAGCUCAAUGUAGACUGACCUUAGUUCUACUGGGACCAGAUGUUUUGGACUACCAAGUCCAUAAGCUCAAUGUAGACAGACCAAAAAUCUACUGGGACCAGGUUUAUUCUAUUUAUUAGUAUACAUAGAUGAAUUUAGAAUUUUUGCUUUGUAAUAAUUGUGCAAUAGUCGUACUUUUGUUUUCCGUUUUCAAUCAUUAGUAUUUACUUGCAAGAUUAUUUCGAAUUUAGCUAAGGUAAAGCUUUUUAAACCAGAAAAAAUAAAGAAGAAAAAAAAGAAAGAAAGCAAUGUCAAUUUGAUUGAAUAAAAAAUCCUUUUAUGCAUCUAUUUUGAAAAAAAAAUGUUUCAACAUCACUUGAUGUACCAGAACAACUCCAACAAAACAAUUAGUAACUUCAAUAUUUUUUCCAAAAUGUUCAUGUUGCCAUGUAAAUGUUUGUCUUAGUUUUGUAUGAAAGAUUUAGAAUAAAAGAAAUUAUGAUGAUUGAUUGUGAAGGCUAUAUACAAUUCAAAUUUGGAUUUCUCAUCAUCUUUUGACAUUUAUUUCCCCCAGAUGUUGAUCAUAGACAUAUGAACAUACAUGUAUAUGUAUCUCUGUGAAAACUUACAUAAUAAUUGUUUGAAGGACAGAGAUUUUGAAGAAAAUCUAUCUGAUGGGAAGAUGUUGAGAAUCUAAAAAAAUUAUGUGGUCUUCAGGCGUUAGACCUUGGUGUGAAAACUCUAAAACAGUUGCAUUGUUGCUACACUAAACUUUAAGUAUAUGCUAUUGUGCAGACAUAACCACUGUUUUGGAGUUUGCAGGGUAUUGGAGAGAACACUAUAAAAUCAGUAAUGCGUUUGUAACAGCCAUUAUCCUUAUUGUGUUUCAAGCACUCAUGUGAAAUAGAAUUAUAGUAAUCUGUAUUAGAUAAAAACUUAAAAUAUAUUAAUGAACAUGUCUAAUACAAACGCACUAGUGAUUUUAAGAGUUAUGUCCCCUACCCAAGGCCAACCUCCCUAUGAGAUGCAUUAUUAAUGUAUAUUGUUUUUAUUAUAUAAACUAAAAACCGAUGUUGUACAUCUCAAAUUAACUAUACCAAAACUCAUGUUGUACAACUCAAAAAUUUACUGUAAAUGUUUAAAUAAAGUUCUUUCCGA